rnacentral:rRNA from 1 species
GCUGAAAUCCUAGUUCACACACAUCACCCAUCUGCCAAGCCAAACUGAACCAAAACAUUUGACACGAUUAGUAGACGCGAUCGAACAUCACCGUGGACACAAUAGAGAUAGUACCGUAAGGGAAAGGAGAACACCCUUAAGCCCAAAAAAGCAAAGAUCAAAUCUUGUACCUUUCGCAUCAUGGUUUAGCAAGCAAACCCAAGCAAGUAGCACAAGCUUGAUGCCCCGAAACCAAGUGAGCUACCUCCAAGCAGCUAAUGAGCGCACCCCCCCCUGUAGCAAAAGGGCGGAAAGACUUAGAGGUAGCAGUGAAAAGCCUAUCGAACUUGGCAAUAGCUGGUUGCUCAAAAAUGAAUCUAAGUUCUACCCUAACACCCACUGCCACCCCCACUUGAAAGUUAGGAAUACUCAUCGGGGGUACAGCUCCGAUGAGCUGGGAUACAACCCGAGUCUGAGAGGAAAGAGACGCGCACCCCCNNNCCGUAGGCCUUUAAGCAGCCACCAGCAAAAAUAGCGUCAAAGCACUCCCCACCCUAAUUCCAAAAUUCAACCAUAUCUCCAAACACAACUCAGAGCAACUCUAUCAUUAUAGAAGAACCUAUGCUAAAACUACUAACCAGAAAGCCCCCUUCUCCAGACACACCUGUCAGCCGGAAAUAGAAUCACUACCGGCACUUAUCAGACCACAAAAGGAACAGGGCACCCCCCCCAUUUCUAGGCCCUCGCCACACUGUGACCCCAACACAGGAGUGUCACCCAUAAACGAAAGAUGAAAAGCUAUAAAAGGAACUCGGCAACCACUGACUCCAACUGUUUACCAAAAACAUAACCUUUAGCCCAAACAAGUAUUAAAGGCGAUGCCUGCCCAGUGAGAACCUCUUCAACGGCCGCGGUACCCUAACCGUGCAAAGGUAGCAUAAUCACUUGUCCACUAAUUAUGGGCUAGCAUGAAAGGCCCCAUGAGAGUCAAACUGUCUCUUAUAGCCCAUCAGUGAAACUGAUCUUACAGUCCAAAAGCUGUAAUAAACUCAUAAGACGAGAAGACCCUGUGAAAUUUUAACCACCCCCUGGUAUUUUCCCGGGGUACUUUUAGUUGGGGCGACUUUGGAACAAACAAAACUUCCAAACACACAGGGCAUCUUCCCCUACAACAUAGGCCUACAAGCCUCUAAACGACCCAGUAAACCUGAUAAAUGAACCAAACUACUCCAGGGAUAACAGCGCAAUCCUCUUCAAGAGCCCAUAUCAAAAAGAGGGUUUACGACCUCGAUGUUGGAUCAGGGCACCCAAGUGGCGCAGCCACUGCUAAAGGUUCGUUUGUUCAACGAUUAAUAGC